UUUGCAUACGGAUUUUAAAAUAAAAGAGGCAGAAGCUCCCACUCCAGAAACGAGCACCAAUCUUCUCUCCUUUCUCUCUGAACCCCUCUUUCUUUUUCCCCGAAAUGAAACUCAAGCAUACAGCUUCAGAAAGAAACUUCCGUCGGCUCUCUCUCAAAAUCAAAACACAAAAUUGAAGAGAAAUUAGGGCUCCGUCGCCCUACCCAAAGUCGACUCCGCUGUUGUCGUGCGUUGCCGGUCAGCCGUGGUCGGAGUCGAGAACCGCUAUCAGAGCCGUCCGUCGGCUCGGCGGUUCCGAUUGCUUACUCGGCAGCCCCGAUUCCACCCCGAACAAUCCCACGGAUAAGUUAUUAACUUUUCGAUUAAAAGUUUGACCUUUCACUUGGUUUGCUUUGAUUACGCGAUAAAUCGAUUUGAUUUCAGAUUGUGUUAAUCGGUAGUGUAGGAUGUAUGAAUGCAGUAGCAAGAAUUUGAAAUUGGGUGAGGGAUUUGAUUCCGAACAAGAUGCCUCUAACCUCCGGUCUCUUAGUCGGAUUGGAAAGAAAAGAUCUGAUAUACCAGCCUCUCCUCCCCCAAAUCGCGAAAAACUCACGCCACACACUUUGCGAUUUUAUCCAAAGCAGGCUGCUCCACGCGAAUUCGCCCUCCUCUCUAGGAUUUCGCCCUCCAUUCAACUAUCGGACCUAUUCUUCCCCAAAUUCGUAUAUUUUUUUCGGUGAACUAUGACAUCAUCUUCUAGUGCUUGCAGAAGACUCUUAUGUGGUCCUGAGGACCCCUUUGUAUUAUAUUUUCAGAGAUAACACGUCUCUAACAACAUAUGGGUUGGAGUUCCAUCGGAAGACGUACGCUGCAGAAGGUACGAAGGUAUCAUUUGGGAUGUUCCCAUACAUCCUCGUGUCCUGGCGGUUGUAGACAUGAUGGGGUUUGGGGGGAUGUUGAGGUGUGGUAAAUCGAAAGACAUUGACCACCAUCUCAUCACCGCAUUGAUUGACCGCUGGAGGCCAGAGACUCACACGUUUCACUUUCCAGUCGGUGAAGCGACUGUGACAUUAGAAGACGUGGAGGUCUUGUGGGGCCUCAACACUGACGGUGAUGCUCUGACAGGUUUCAUCCCCACUAAGGAUGUAAGCUAUUGGAAGGAUGUUUGUCUGGAUUUUCUUGGCUUUAUUCCAGAUGCUGUUGAUUUGAAAGAGCUCAACUGGAAGCAGACAGCCUUAUCAGCUCAACUGAGGAUUGAGUUGGGUGAUGACCACGACCAGUACGAAUACGAGCAACGCGCCCGUGUGUAUUGUCUGUUGUUACUUGGUGGUCUGCUGAUCCCUAACGCAUCAGGUAAUAAAAUUUCAUUCUUCUACAUUCAAUUUUUCAUGGAUUUAGAACGAUGUAGCAGCUAUAGCUGGGGUGGUGCGACUCUUGCAUGCUUGUACCACAAUCUAUGUGAAGUUGCACUUGCAAAGAGGACCGAUGUCGGGGGAGCUCUUACAUUGUUACGGUUGUGGGCUUGAGAGAGAAUCCCAAUUAUUAGACCGAAGAUGCUAAAUCCUGUGCCUGUAGACUACCUACCAUGUGCAAUCGCAUGGACUGGCCCGACCUCUUAUGUAAAAGCACCCGGGCAUUGCAUUGAAACUUUCAGAGAUCAGUUCUCUAGAAUGCACGCCAACCAAUUUAUUUGAGGCCAUAUGUCCAUCGAAGCCUGCCGGAUGCUUGUGUUGCCGGUCGUUCUAUAUGGACGUCGAGCACAACCCUUAUUUGCUGGAAUCUGGUUGAGCCACACGUGCCAGAGUGAGUGUUGCGACAAUUUGGGAUUGUCCAACCCUAUAUCCCGCUUGUCAACAGGUUCCACGGUGCUGAUUUUUUGAAACAGGAUCGACGUGGCAAAGCUGGACGGAAUUGGGUUGACUGGCACUCCAAUCAUUUACAGGCUUGGGAUAAUAGGCACGACACGGUGUACGUGGAUUUGGAGUACUCAAUGGAGCCUAUUGCACUUGAUGAGUACAUGGAUUGGUUUCGCCGGAUAACCGUGGUGUACAUAACAAAACCUGGCGUGCAUGCUCAGGAGGGCUUCCAGGAAACGGCAGCCUCUCGUAACUACGCGGUGGAGACGCUUCACAAAAUACGCCACUAUCUUAGUGAGCAAGACAUGUCAGGACAUCAGCUUUGUACACAAUUUCGAGUAUGGUUGAAGACGGCCUGCACAUAUCUGGGGAACCUGAGAUGAUGGACUGCCGUCCUUCCCAGCGGUCUGAGAUGGACAUUGACAUGCCCGUUAGGCAAAAAGGGAAGCGGCGUGGUAAGAAGGAAGCGGGUGAAGAGUCGUCAUCCGCAAGGAUGGUAGUGGAUUCCGAUGACGACUUUAUGCCUCCACCUCCACCAAGCUCCGUCGUUCGAGGACGGCAUUCAAUUAGCCACACUGGUGGAACCGGUGAAGAUAUCGGUCUCAGUGAUGUCCCCCAAUCUCCACCUCAUUCUUCUGUGCGAGGCGACUUCUUUGGGGUUGAUGUAGAGAACACGGUUGUGCAAGAUACUCCUUCGUCUCGUCUCCCUACCUCCAAAAUCGGGAAGGGAAUCUGUGGUCUGUUUAUGCGGAAAAGGUGAGACGAGUGAACAUUAACAAGUAUUUAGUUGAAUUGAUCAUUAUAGCGUUUUAACAAUUUUUGUGUUCAUUUCUCCAGUUGAACAUUGUUAUGUUUUAUUAGGAAUUUGAUACAUCCUCUUGAUAUUGGUGUUUUUUCAUUGAUUUGAACUCUUUAUAUUAGUAAUUUGAUACAUCCUCUUUAUAAAA